rnacentral:rRNA from 1 species
UUUCGCAAUGCCCGAAAGGGUGACGAAGCGACGCCGCGUGGGUGAGGAAGGCCUUCGGGUUGUAAAGCCCUGUCAGGAGUUAAGAAAUGUAAGUGCGCUAAUAUCGCAUUUAUUUGACGAAGGCUCCAAAGGAAGUCACGGCUAACUCUGUGCCAGCAGCCGCGGUAAUACAGAGGUGGCAAGCGUUGUUCGGAAUUAUUGGGCGUAAAGAGCACGUAGGUGGGUUUGUAAGUCAGAUGUGAAAGCCUUCUGUUCAACGGAAGAAUUGCAUCUGAAACUGCGAGUCUUGAGUGUAGGAGGGGAGAAUGGAACUUCUGGUGGAGCGGUGAAAUGCGUAGAUAUCAGAAGGAACGCCGGCGGCGAAAGCGAUUCUCUGGCCUAUUACUGACACUCAGUGUGCGAAAGCUAGGGGAGCAAACGGGGUUAGAUACCCCGGUAGUCCUAGCCGUAAACGAUGGGCACUAAGUAGAGGGGUUUUA